AGUGGCAGACGGGUGAGUAAUGCGUAGGAAUCUACCUAGUAGUAUGGAAUAGCCAUUAGAAAUGAUGGGUAAUACUGUAUAAUCCCUGCGGGGGAAAGAUUUAUCGCUAUUAGAUGAGCCUACGUUAGAUUAGCUAGUUGGUAAGGUAAUGGCUUACCAAGGCUAUGAUCUAUAGCUGGUCUGAGAGGACGAUCAGCCACACUGGAACUGAGAUACGGUCCAGACUCCUACGGGAGGCAGCAGUGGGGAAUAUUGGACAAUGGGCGAAAGCCUGAUCCAGCUAUGCCGCGUGAGUGAAGAAGGCCUUCGGGUUGUAAAGCUCUUUCAAUAGGGA
rnacentral:rRNA from 1 species